CCGAAUCAGACCCAGAUAGCAGUAAUGAAGAGGGUGAAGCAAAACUUCUGCAAGCAUGGUUUUUAAAGGACGUUUCUGAAUGGGGCAUGGAUAUGGAAACAUUGUCCAUAGCAGACUGGGGUGAUUAAAACUGGCCGAGAGCAUGACUAACAGAUAGGCAUUUAAAGGAACUUCCCUCUGAAAACUCACCGAAUUUGGAGUGAGUGGAGCUCCAACCACAUCAAUAAUCUGCUCUUUGGCUUCAGUUUUGAUGUCAUCAGCACCAAGCCAGGAUUGACUGUCAGGGGCUCCACCGCUCUCGCUCUGUGGUGUGACGGCGCCCCCUGCUUUUAGAAGUGCAUCAUAGCGGUGCCGCAACAUCUGCUGUUCGUACUCACAGUUACUGUAGGCCUGCUUCAAUUCGUACACCAGGACCAGGUCGCUGCGGAGUUCAUUAAACAUCUGUACUAUCUCCUCUGUGGGCAUAGGGUUGAGGUCUGUCAUGGGAAGGGAAGGGAUAUGUUAGGAGACUUUCUAAACUGAACUGUAAUAAAGGUUAAUUUCAACA